GGUGGGUGGGCAACAUCUAGAUUUAUUCUUUCUGUGUUCUUCCACUGUAAGCUAUGGGCAGGAAUACAAUUCACUACCUGCACUUCAAGUGGAGUCUAGUGCUGUGUCCAUCUCAUUUUGUUAGAGCCACACAGUGAAUGAGACAUUGCUGUGUGGGUGGUCUUUGUCCUCUCCCCUUUCUCCACCGUUCACAACUACCUUAUUCCUUUAUCUUGCUAUUGUAAAGUAGCUGAUUUCAGUACUGUAUUCUGUGUAUGUUUUUGUUUUCGAACCAGUAUGGAUGCACAUCUUUUUUGAAAAUAUAGAUAGGUGUUUGUCAACUGUUCUACUGUUAGUGUAAUCACAUUUUUUUCAAAGUGCCUAAAAAUAGUAGUGAUUAAAAAGUGACUAAUGCUACAGCGUCUAGGUGACAUACAGUACAGUGACUUGUUUGAACAACACAGUAAGCCAAACUAUGGUUUACUGAGACCACACAAUGUGUGAGCACGCUGCCAGGAGUUCACAGUCACUUGUAUCCUCCCUAAUCCUAUUUGCUUCUGCAUCAUGCUUAGCUAAACCAACAGCUUCACUAUCACCCAUGGUUGUGUUUUCGGGCUGACAAGAGUUGUAGUUCAACAACCUGGGCCUUAGCUCAGUUGGUUAGAGCAUGGUGCUGAUAAUGCCAAGGUUGCAGGUUUGAUACCCUUAUGGGACAACUGCCUAUUCCUGCAUUGCAGGGGGUUGAACUCAGAGUCCCUUCCAACUCUAUAAUUCUAUGAUUCUAACCUCUGGAGAGCACCACAUUUGCCAUCUCUAGUCUAAAGCCAGGAGAAGUUCAUAUAAAUUUAGGUCUUUUCAAGAAACAGAGAAAAUGUGAGAGGGAGGUGGGGAAAUAUAGUUCAAACACAAUGCUGCUUUUAAAAAUACAUAACUCCAACACUUCAAACUGCAGUAUUGUAUCACUGUAUGAAACUUUAUUUUGGUAUGAUAAAUUUGCACCUGUCACCCUGUCAUUCUUUUCUUCCUGCUUGUGACAAAGAGGUUCAUGAUUGCAGAGUACAAGUGUUGUGUGUGUGUGACCAUAGCCUUUAUGUAGAGAAAGAGACUGCAGGGCUUCUGUGAAGUCUUUUAAUUUCUGUAUUUCCCCCCCCAAAAUGCACUUUUUAAAUGAAGUAUCUUUCUGGUGCCUUUAAAAGCAAACUAGAUUAGUGAAAUCUGUAGGUGUAAUUGCCAAUACUAAACAUCUUAAAAUACUUUUUGGGUGGGCAGUAUAGAUUUUAUUUCAGUUGCAACUUCAGCACCAAAUGCCAGUUUCUUAUUUGUGUGUGUAUGGUGGGGAAGCCUUGGUUUUGUUCACUCCUUUUCUAGGGCUCAGAACCUUCAGAAUUCAAAUGGUUUGUUCUUGGUUGUGGUCAGUAAAUGGUUGGCUCUCUAUGUGCUCCACAGUACUGUCUCUAGCACAUGCAGGAUGCUAUCUGGAAGGCUGAGACCAGGACAGUCCCAUCCAUGAGACAAACCAAGGCAGCCACCUCAGGCAGCAGAAUCCAAGGGGCACCUCUGUGGACACACCCUCUCACUGCCAGAGGAGCAGCUGCGGUAGCUUCCAGAUUCUAGCGAGAUCUCACGAGAGCCCCAUGAGAUCCUUCAAGGCCUCUGAAGGCCUCCACAUGAUUUUGCCAGAAGCCACAGGCAUGACCAUGGUAAGCGAGGAUUCGACAGGGGCAGCAAGGGGAUGCAGGCGGCACAGGUUCAGGGCAGCCCGUUCCCAUUUCAACUCAGGUUGCAAAAUUGGAUGGCUGAGGCAGACAGCAGCAUUGACACCUACUCCUGAGAAGUCACUGCCACAUAAUUUGCCAGUGCUUUGCUACCACAGGAAAGACUCCGGAGCCAGCAGCAAACUCUGUCAAAGCCUAGAUGUGUCCUAAUCUCUGCGAGUGUUGACAGCUUUGAUAGCAGGCUCAGGGAUUGGUGUGUUACUGGAAAGCCACCACAGGUGGUGGGGCGACAUCAAAGAGGUGUUGCCGCAAGGGCUGAGGUGAUCAACAAUCCUGUUGGACCCUGAUGAGAGACAGUGCCUAGGUGACAUGGGAUAGGGUCCUCCCUCCCCCACCCUUUGCUAGCAGUUUUGGGAAGUUUUCUUGCAUUGCUCAGCAUGCUCUGAGAUCGAAGAUUUCUGUUGCAGGGGGGGAUUUCUGUAGAGAGCAGUCUUUCUUCCUGACUUGGCAUUUGAUUUUCUUUGUUUGCUGGAAUAUAAAUUACUGGUUUAAUUUUUUUUUUGCUGUUUUGACAUAUUUCUGAACCCUCCCAGUUUUUCAGAAAGUAGGGAAGUGGCAUAUACAGUGGUACCUCGGGUUAAGUACUUAAUUCGUUCUGGAGUUCCGUUCUUAACCUGAAACUGUUCUUAACCUGAAGCACCACUUUAGCUAAUGCGGCCUCCUGCUGCUGCUGUGCUGCCGGAGCCCGAUUUCUGUCCUCAUCCUGAAGCAAAGUUCUUAACCUGAAGCACUAUUCCUGGGUUAGCAGAGUCUGUAACCUGAAGCGUAUGUAACCUGAAGCGUAUGUAACCCGAGGUACCACUGUAAAUGAUUUUUGUAUGUGUGUGAAAUUGGUAACUACUAUGGAGGUUUUAUGGUUGGUCUGCUAGGUAGCCCCAAUUUCACUACUAAUAACACCACCUACUUCAUAGGGCUGUUAAUCUCCUUGGAGGAAAGGAGAGAUAUAAAUGUAGUACAGUACUGUAAAUCUAUUGCUGUGCACAUACUAGUGUCACUUAUCUCACAUGUCUGCAUGAGAACCGUGCAUCAGUAGACUGCCGGCCCCUUUGUCUUUGGGUUUAGUCCAUGACUUACUGGAUAUGCCAUGUAAUAUAUUUAGCCCCAUCUGGAUUUCCAUCCAAUUCUGAUGAUUAAUUUGUAGGUACUGUGUCACCUUGAGUACAGUAGUUUUGGAAUUGGCCCAGGAACUUAAUGGUAUGAGGAAUUAUAGCUACUGAUGUCAUUAAAGGCGAGUUUCUUUUAAAGCUGUCACCUCUUUUUUUACAUUCCUAGUUAAUAUAUAUUGGAGGGGGAAGUGCUAUAAUUUCCAGAUUCUAAGAUGGGCAAAAGAAAGACCAUAAUAUAAAAUUAUAAAACCAUAAUGUAAUGUAAAACCAUUCCUAGUAGUGACAUUAGCCUGCAUGCAGUGCUACAUUACUCCAUUCAGAAGUGAAAUUUGGGGUUGCAGGAAGGACAGCUUAUUUCAUUUAGAGAGUAGGUCUGACUGUUAUCUUGGUGUCUCAGUAUGUAAAGUUUUUCUUGUGUUAGGUUAACAGAAAAUGAUAGACACAUUUAGAAAAUGUCCCGUUCUCCCCACCCCCCGCCAUUUAUUUUAUUUUAACCAUAAGGCACACCAACCGAUUAUUAGAUUGUAAAACAAAAAGAAAGCCCCAACAGCACAUGGCCUAGAAGUUUUUUUGGCUGAGAUGAGACCUUCUCCCAGCUCUCUUCCAGCUGGGAGAAGACUGCUAAGGAACAGAGCAUGUUAAAUAUUCAAAGGUCUGACCCUGUGGGCUAGUCUGUUCAGUCCCCUUCCUGUGGAUUUUCUCUUCCCCGAGAUAAAUUCUUUUCAAAUUCAUACUUUCUGUUUUGUGGGGAGAAAGCAUAAUUUCAGGGGGAAGGACAGGUCAACUUUAAAGAAGCUGAAAGGGGAGCAUAAUAGAACAUAUGAGUCAGGAACUUCAUUUCCCAUUAUCACCCCUGCUGACAGAAUUCCACUUUCCUAGCAGUUCUGCUUUGAGGGUAUGUAGGUUAUUUGGAGAAGCAAAUAUGCAUUCAAGUCCUUGAGAUAAGAAUGCUUUUGCACAGGGAAGGCUAUCGGUCUUUUGGACUCUCUAGUUAGAGCUCUAAAAGUCUGGAUUAAGAAAUUUUGAUUCAAGGUAAGAUUGGUACUUUUUUGUGAAAUCACCCAAGGCUUAGAGGACCAACCUGAAUGCAGGAGAGGCAAGCAAUUCUACAAAUAUGACAGUAUCAGGACAGAUAAAGGAUUCUGCCAGACAGUCUUAAAACCAUCCCUUUUUGCUUCCAUGAUUUGUACAGUUUUUCCCCAUCGUUCCCCUAACAAAUCACUUGUUUGUAUUUUAAAGUACUCACAGUUGCAUUAACGUUAUAGAAAUGUUGCACUUUAGUGCUGGCUCUCAAAAAUCUGCCUCUGGAUUUAUAGGCUCCCCCAAAGUGGAUGGGCAUUGCCAUUCAAAUGGUGUCCAUGUAUUGCAUCUUGUGAUCAAUUAUGUGGGGUAGGGGUUACUUGGGCCCCCCCAAUAUUCAAGUUGGCACCCCUGGUGGGAGGAUUGGAUUAGAUACUGCAUUGGCUAUGCCAAGGCAGCAGAAUCCCAUGCAAAACCCAUUAAAGCAAUACCAAUUUAUAAUACAAUUAUUAAUACCAAUCUUUCAAAUACCAAAUUACAGUGGUACCUUGAGUUACAAACGCCUCAGGUUACAAAUGCUUCAGGUUACAAACUCCGCUAACCUGGAAGAGUUAAGGCAGAGCGGAACCAGAAGCCCUGAUUCAGGAAGAGGUUUGUAUGGGAAUCUUGCAAAAACAAAAGGUUUUCAGGCAGUCCUGUGUUUUGAAGUUCUGACAAUCAUGGCUUCAGAGCACAGUAUCACUUGAUGUCAUAGUGAUGUCAGGUGAGCAGCCACUCUAUGUUUUCCAUUGAUAGUAUUUGGGAGGAGGUGCAGUAAGAGGGCCACAAGACUAUGCUUUGCCCUGGAUCCCAGGUUACCGCUGGGUAGCCCUGGGCAAUACUCAUUAGUUAUUAAUAAUACUGGGAACAUUUUGGCUAACUUUCCACAACUAGAUGCACCAGGAAAUAUGUGAAUGACCUGUGGUAUCUGAGCCAUUUUGAAGAAAACAGAGCUACUAAAAAGAAAAUGGAAUGAUUCUGAAUACAAAUUCUGCUUUCUAGUUUCUUAAUUCAAUAUUUCUUGUUUGUAAGAUUUCCUCCCCUACCCUGCUUAAAGAACCUUUUGGUCUCUCACCUUCCGUUUACCUUUUGUCUGCUUUCUGGCAGCCACAGUAGUAUCUUCUUGCCAGUAGGGUGUGUGAGCACAUCUGUUUGAAGCCAACAGCAAUAUUGGUCUUAGGAGUCUGUUUUCAGGGCCUCUCCCGAAGACUGGACACUUUCCUUUAUGUACUGUGGCAUUCCGCACACAGUCUUAGUGCCUGGGAACCCCAUACUAUUCAUUUCUGAGAGAGGCUAUAAAAACAAAAUUUGUGCCUGGAUUUGUAUUGGCUUGUUUUUUUGCAUGAGGGGUUAAAUUCCAGUUUUGCACGCCAAGCUUUUCCAUGCUGCUGUUCAUCCGAGACACAAAGAGAAUACCAAGAGACAAAACAGGAUGAAACUCGAGUAAACAACAUAAAUGUCAAUAAAGGUUUGGAAUGCUGAAAGUGAAUUGCUAGUUGUUCUUGACAUAGCUAAAACAUAUAAAAGAAUCUGAAAAUGUGAGGUCUUGGUGUGUCAUAUGGAAAACUACAGCAGUCAAUUGCUUUUACACUGUUUCUCAAACAAACGUGAGGAUCUGAGACUCAGCUUGGAUGGGAGAAAGACACAUGGUAAUAUGUUCAAGGUCUGGCACCAUCACAUCAGGCGCACACAAUUGAAUUCAAUUGGCCUUUAUUUCUCCUGGAUGUAUCGGGUUUGUAUAUGUAGGGGGUACUUUGGCUGUAUCUCAUACACUUAGUAAGGCAGAAUAUGUAUGUGAUGCACACCUGUUUUGCUUCUCCCUUUGGACCAGUGGUCAAUAACUUCCAGAUAAUAUAACCAUUUAAACAUGAGUAAAACUACUUUUGAGCCUAGUUUAAUUCAGGGGUUGGCAAGGUUUACCUCGCCUGGGCCGGUUCACGCCAGCGGAGAUCCCUCUGUGGGCCGGGUUUCCAGCAUCUGCGUCAGCAUAGACGCGAUUUCCAGCACCAUGGAAGCGAGUCCCCGCGCCACACUGUGCUGAUUUAGCGCAGUGCGUGGGGACUCACCGAGCGGGCGACUCGGUUCAAGGGCGGCUUGUGGGCCAGUUAAAUGACCCCCAUGAGCCGCUUGUGGCCCAUGGGCCUUAGGUUGCCUACCCCUGGUUUAAUUCAUAAAUGUGAUGUCUUACGGGCUCAUAACUUGGCAUUCUCAAUCUCAAGAUUAAAAGGCAUUGAACAAUCUUAUAAAGAGCAUUGGGUGUUAUUUGCAAAAAGGCUAGACAGUGCUAUGUGCAAGACUAAAUUGCAGCUCUGCAUUGAAUUGGCACAUUGCAUCAGAUUGUUUCUAUACUUCUGCUUAUAAUAAUUAGAGUCAUAGGCACCCCUUAACGAAUAAUCAAGCAUAGUCUGAAACGGGCGAGGGGGGGGGAGCUAAUCCCACCCUCCCUUAAUAGCCUCUUUAAUGAUUCACAAGAAUGCCAAGAUAAAACGAGCACAAUGUGAUAAAUUAGCAAUAAUCUAGAAUUUUCUGCUUGGGGGUGUUGAUAUAAGCGAACAUCUUUUCCCAGCCAAUUACACAAUACAUUAGAGGUAACUCUACAAAAACAUAAUUUUGUCACAAAAUCAGUAAGUCAGUAUGGUACAUUGUUGGAUUUGGGAUUAAAUAUCCAAAUUACACUGAAGUAAUGAAUUCACUCAGUGUCCUUAUCCUUCUGAAAUAUGUUUAUUUCUCAGCUUGCUUUCUUGACAUCAGUAGAAUUUGGAAGUACCAUGGGAAUCCAAGUGUUACCUAUAUGUGGCAAUAACUGUGUGUUUGGCAACUGUGCUGUGUGUGGUUUUUUUUAAAUCAAAUACAAGGUGCAUGGAUUAUGAGGAUUCCAGUUUGCAGGAAGGGAAUGUUUUUUUUUUUUUUUCCUGUAUCUGAGCUCCUUUGCUGGAGCCAGUUUUAUUUUUUUUUUUUAAAUCAUAUUUAUUAAAGUUUCC